AAAUUGAAGAGUUUGAUCAUGGCUCAGAUUGAACGCUGGCGGCAGGCCUAACACAUGCAAGUCGAACGGUAACAGGAAGCAGCUUGCUGCUUCGCUGACGAGUGGCGGACGGGUGAGUAAUGUCUGGGAAACUGCCUGAUGGAGGGGGAUAACUACUGGAAACGGUAGCUAAUACCGCAUAACGUCGCAAGACCAAAGAGGGGGACCUUCGGGCCUCUUGCCAUCGGAUGUGCCCAGAUGGGAUUAGCUUGUUGGUGGGGUAACGGCUCACCAAGGCGACGAUCCCUAGCUGGUCUGAGAGGAUGACCAGCCACACUGGAACUGAGACACGGUCCAGACUCCUACGGGAGGCAGCAGUGGGGAAUAUUGCACAAUGGGCGCAAGCCUGAUGCAGCCAUGCCGCGUGUAUGAAGAAGGCCUUCGGGUUGUAAAGUACUUUCAGCGGGGAGGAAGGGAGUAAAGUUAAUACCUUUGCUCAUUGACGUUACCCGCAGAAGAAGCACCGGCUAACUCCGUGCCAGCAGCCGCGGUAAUACGGAGGGUGCAAGCGUUAAUCGGAAUUACUGGGCGUAAAGCGCACGCAGGCGGUUUGUUAAGUCAGAUGUGAAAUCCCCGGGCUCAACCUGGGAACUGCAUCUGAUACUGGCAAGCUUGAGUCUCGUAGAGGGGGGUAGAAUUCCAGGUGUAGCGGUGAAAUGCGUAGAGAUCUGGAGGAAUACCGGUGGCGAAGGCGGCCCCCUGGACGAAGACUGACGCUCAGGUGCGAAAGCGUGGGGAGCAAACAGGAUUAGAUACCCUGGUAGUCCACGCCGUAAACGAUGUCGACUUGGAGGUUGUGCCCUUGAGGCGUGGCUUCCGGAGCUAACGCGUUAAGUCGACCGCCUGGGGAGUACGGCCGCAAGGUUAAAACUCAAAUGAAUUGACGGGGGCCCGCACAAGCGGUGGAGCAUGUGGUUUAAUUCGAUGCAACGCGAAGAACCUUACCUGGUCUUGACAUCCACAGAACUUUCCAGAGAUGGAUUGGUGCCUUCGGGAACUGUGAGACAGGUGCUGCAUGGCUGUCGUCAGCUCGUGUUGUGAAAUGUUGGGUUAAGUCCCGCAACGAGCGCAACCCUUAUCCUUUGUUGCCAGCGGUCCGGCCGGGAACUCAAAGGAGACUGCCAGUGAUAAACUGGAGGAAGGUGGGGAUGACGUCAAGUCAUCAUGGCCCUUACGACCAGGGCUACACACGUGCUACAAUGGCGCAUACAAAGAGAAGCGACCUCGCGAGAGCAAGCGGACCUCAUAAAGUGCGUCGUAGUCCGGAUUGGAGUCUGCAACUCGACUCCAUGAAGUCGGAAUCGCUAGUAAUCGUGGAUCAGAAUGCCACGGUGAAUACGUUCCCGGGCCUUGUACACACCGCCCGUCACACCAUGGGAGUGGGUUGCAAAAGAAGUAGGUAGCUUAACCUUCGGGAGGGCGCUUACCACUUUGUGAUUCAUGACUGGGGUGAAGUCGUAACAAGGUAACCGUAGGGGAACCUGCGGUUGGAUCACCUCCUU
rnacentral:rRNA from 1 species